AUUGAACGCUGGCGGCAGGCUUAACACAUGCAAGUCGAGCGGGGUGAUGGUGCUUGCACUAUCACUUAGCGGCGGACGGGUGAGUAAUGCUUAGGAAUCUGCCUAUUAGUGGGGGACAACAUCUCGAAAGGGAUGCUAAUACCGCAUACGUCCUACGGGAGAAAGCAGGGGAUCACUUGUGACCUUGCGCUAAUAGAUGAGCCUAAGUCGGAUUAGCUAGUUGGUGGGGUAAAGGCCUACCAAGGCGACGAUCUGUAGCGGGUCUGAGAGGAUGAGCCGCCACACUGGGACUGAGACACGGCCCAGACUCCUCAGGGAGGCAGCAGUGGGGAAUAUUGGACAAUGGGGGGAACCCUGAUCCAGCCAUGCCGCGUGUGUGAAGAAGGCCUUAUGGUUGUAAAGCACUUUAAGCGAGGAGGAGGCUCUUUUGGUUAAUACCCAAGAUGAGUGGACGUUACUCGCAGAAUAAGCACCGGCUAACUCUGUGCCAGCAGCCGCGGUAA
rnacentral:rRNA from 1 species